GAUGAACGCUGGCGGCGUGCCUAAUACAUGCAAGUCGAGCGAAUGAUGAGGAGCUUGCUCCUCUGAUUUAGCGGCGGACGGGUGAGUAACACGUGGGUAAUCUGCCUGUAAGACGGGGAUAACUCCGGGAAACCGGGGCUAAUACCGGAUAACAAGAGGAAAUGCAUAUUUCCUUUUUGAAAGUCGGUUUACGCUGACACUUACAGAUGAGCCCGCGGCGCAUUAGCUAGUUGGUGAGGUAAUGGCUCACCAAGGCGACGAUGCGUAGCCGACCUGAGAGGGUGAUCGGCCACACUGGGACUGAGACACGGCCCAGACUCCUACGGGAGGCAGCAGUAGGGAAUCUUCGGCAAUGGGCGAAAGCCUGACCGAGCAACGCCGCGUGAGCGAUGAAGGCCUUCGGGUCGUAAAGCUCUGUUGUUAGGGAAGAACAAGUAUGAGAGUAACUGCUCGUACCUUGACGGUACCUAACCAGAAAGCCACGGCUAACUACGUGCCAGCAGCCGCGGUAACAC
rnacentral:rRNA from 1 species